UACAGGGGGUGCAAACGUUGCUCGGAAUUAUUGGGCGUAAAGUGCGCGUAGGCGGCUACUUAAGUCGGAUGUGAAAGCCCCUGGCUCAACUGGGGAAGUGUACCCGAAACUGAGUGGCUUGAGUACUAAAGAGGGUCGCGGAAUUCCCGGUGUAGAGGUGAAAUUCGUAGAUAUCGGGAGGAACACCAGUGGCGAAGGCGACUACCUGGCCUGUUCUUGACGCUGAGGCGCGAAAGCUAGGGGAGCAAACGGG
rnacentral:rRNA from 1 species